rnacentral:rRNA from 1 species
GACGAACGCUGGCGGCGUGCUUAACACAUGCAAGUCGAACGGAAAGGCCCUGCUUUUGUGGGGUGCUCGAGUGGCGAACGGGUGAGUAACACGUGAGUAACCUGCCCUUGACUUUGGGAUAACCUCAGGAAACUGGGGCUAAUACCGGAUAGGAGCUCCUGCUGCAUGGUGGGGGUUGGAAAGUUUCGGCGGUUGGGGAUGGACUCGCGGCUUAUCAGCUUGUUGGUGGGGUAGUGGCUUACCAAGGCUUUGACGGGUAGCCGGCCUGAGAGGGUGACCGGCCACAUUGGGACUGAGAUACGGCCCAGACUCCUACGGGAGGCAGCAGUGGGGAAUAUUGCACAAUGGGCGGAAGCCUGAUGCAGCAACGCCGCGUGCGGGAUGACGGCCUUCGGGUUGUAAACCGCUUUCGCCUGUGACGAAGCGUGAGUGACGGUAAUGGGUAAAGAAGCACCGGCUAACUACGUGCCAGCAGCCGCGGUGAUACGUAGGGUGCGAGCGUUGUCCGGAUUUAUUGGGCGUAAAGGGCUCGUAGGUGGUUGAUCGCGUCGGAAGUGUAAUCUUGGGGCUUAACCCUGAGCGUGCUUUCGAUACGGGUUGACUUGAGGAAGGUAGGGGAGAAUGGAAUUCCUGGUGGAGCGGUGGAAUGCGCAGAUAUCAGGAGGAACACCAGUGGCGAAGGCGGUUCUCUGGGCCUUUCCUGACGCUGAGGAGCGAAAGCGUGGGGAGCGAACAGGCUUAGAUACCCUGGUAGUCCACGCUGUAAACGGUGGGUACUAGGUGUGGGGUCCAUUCCACGGGUUCCGUGCCGUAGCUAACGCUUUAAGUACCCCGCCUGGGGAGUACGGCCGCAAGGCUAAAACUCAAAGGAAUUGACGGGGCCCCGCACAAGCGGCGGAGCAUGCGGAUUAAUUCGAUGCAACGCGUAGAACCUUACCUGGGUUUGACAUGGAUCGGGAGUGCUCAGAGAUGGGUGUGCCUCUUUUGGGGUCGGUUCACAGGUGGUGCAUGGCUGUCGUCAGCUCGUGUCGUGAGAUGUUGGGUUAAGUCCCGCAACGAGCGCAACCCUUGUUCACUGUUGCCAGCACGUUAUGGUGGGGACUCAGUGGAGACCGCCGGGGUCAACUCGGAGGAAGGUGGGGAUGACGUCAAGUCAUCAUGCCCCUUAUGUCCAGGGCUUCACGCAUGCUACAAUGGCUGGUACAGAGAGUGGCGAGCCUGUGAGGGUGAGCGAAUCUCGGAAAGCCGGUCUCAGUUCGGAUUGGGGUCUGCAACUCGACCUCAUGAAGUCGGAGUCGCUAGUAAUCGCAGAUCAGCAACGCUGCGGUGAAUACGUUCCCGGG